GUUUUGACAGUGGUGCUUAGAAUGUUAUCGGAAGAGUUACACACGAGCACGGCAUGGUUUAAUUGAUUUUGCUAGAAGGUCGAGUUGAUGCCCAACUAUGGAUUGCGGAUGUUUGUUAUACAGAAUCGAAUCGGCUUCAAGGAAUAUCCCACUGCGGACGAAAGGGGAUUAUGUUUGCGGGAUGUAAGCACUAAGCAUCUUGCUGUCGGGGGCGUAAUUCCUAAAGAAUACGGCGGUUGCAAGCUCAUAAUACUAACAGCCGAGGAUUCUACGUAUCAAGGAAAGACCACAAGUCCCGGACGGACGCUACAUUCUCUUCUGCCAGUAUCUGUUAUGCUGCCAUCCCUUAAAAGGCGGCUCUGGAAGUGCCGCAUUCUGUGGCAUGUACAUUGAGGCGCUCGCCGUCCAGCGAUUGUUUUAAUGAAUCAGCCUGAAUUAAGCACGUAGUCGAGUAAAAACUAUCAGGUUUUCUGUGGACGGUUUUGCCAGUUACAACUCCGCGCGUCAACAUGUUUGUUUUUAACAUACGGGCGCCUGCCAACGGAAAAACACAGCCCAAAGUGCUACGGUAAUAAGGUAAGACAAUCCUGUGUUUAACUCGAAUCAAUAAUAAACAUGCACAAGUACCUGAUUACACGGGGAUUAGGUAGCUUCCGCUCGUAUCCUGUGCUGACAACAGUCAGCGGAAAGCCUAAAAAUUUGAUGGUUUUUAAAUUUUCUACACAAGUAAUUUCAAAAAAUGAAGUAUUUACUCCUAAUAGUGGUGCGGCUGAGCCAUUUCUUUGCGAUUUCGGCGAGAUAGACAUCUCACGAAAAGCUAAGAAAGGGACUGCGAGCAGUACAGGCGCGGCAGAAAUUACAACAGCAGUUAGCGUUGGUACAUAUAUAAUAAAAUACACCAAGCGGAAAAUUAAUUUCUUUUUAACGGUCCCUCAUGGCGUCGAAUCCAAUGAUUUGCGGUAAGUUAUGUACACUGAUAGUCGUCAAAUCAUCAUGGCUCGCUAUGUUCAUGGUCCCAGGUUGUAGAAUCUGAAGGUAAGAAAAGAUCCCAUGUCGCUUUUGCCCCACUGCCCGUGCGCGUGGAACCCUGAUCCAGUUCUAGCGAAUCUGUUAAGGCCAAUUACAAGCUGCGUUCCAUUCCGCCCUGCUGUGCUGCCGGACAGCUGUCCCUGGCUAAUCGCCGGUGCGGCCAAUUCCUUCCGCCGAGGGUUCUACUGCGUUCUCUGCCGGUGCACCUUCAUUGCUGAGACGCGCAUGAGCUGCGGCGACUUGCGUGGUUGCUAUGAUGAAUAGCAACACCGAAGCGACGUGCCAAAGUUUCAACAUAGCGAACGGUAGACAAAUGUGCUGUUAGGGCUGCAAUACGGUGUACACCGGCAUGUCGUCUGCCGGGCUGUCUGCUUAUAUACUGCUUGCUCCGCAGUUAAUUCUGAUAACUGUCUAAUUAUGCUCGAAAGGUGUCGUCCUCGUAAAAUUCCUGUACAUAGCGUUUUAAUCGUUAAGCACCGCAU